UAAUUAUGUAUAUAUAUAUUUCUCUUUUUUUUUGUAGAUUGUGCAAAGCUAAAUGCCCAGAUGGGCGAAUUGACUGCACAGAAGGUGGAAAAUGAGAUACUUCUUGAGGUAAUACGAGCGCAAACUGUUACCAAAUGAUGGAUAUCUGUGUAUGUAAAUAUGUAUGUACAUAUGUAUACAUAAGCAUCUUUUUUUUAAUAGGAAGUUAAAACUUUAGAAGACGAUGCUGUUUUACAUAAACUAGUUGGUUUAGUCUUGGUAAAAGAAGAAAAGAGUAAAUGCUAUGACACUAUAACGAGAAGAAUACACUACAUACGUGGGGAAAUGGAAAGCAGAAAAAAAGUCAUUAAAAACUUGGAGGAGAAACUAAAAAAGUUGUUCGCGGAUUUGGAGGUACACACCAAUAAAAAAAAAAUUGCAAUUCCACAANNNNNNNNNNAAAAAUAUACAAGUUCGAAAUAAUUAUGUAUAUAUAUAUUUCUCUUUUUUUUUGUAGAUUGUGCAAAGCUAAAUGCCCAGAUGGGCGAAUUGACUGCACAGAAGGUGGAAAAUGAGAUACUUCUUGAGGAAGUUAAAACUUUAGAAGACGAUGCUGUUUUACAUAAACUAGUUGGUUUAGUCUUGGUAAAAGAAGAAAAGAGUAAAUGCUAUGACACUAUAACGAGAAGAAUACACUACAUACGUGGGGAAAUGGAAAGCAGAAAAAAAGUCAUUAAAAACUUGGAGGAGAAACUAAAAAAGUUGUUCGCGGAUGUAAUAUAAUAUAUAUAUAUAUAUAAGACAGUUAUAUUUAUCCUAUA
rnacentral:lncRNA from 1 species